AUGGAGAGAAAGGGAGGUCUUCCAUUUGCUGGUUCACUACCCAAAUGGCCACAGCAAACCAGCUCUGGGCCAGGCCAAAGACAGGAGCCGGCAGCUCCAUCUGGAUCUCUGAGUGGCAGGCAUCCGAGCCCGUGGGCCAUCUUCUGCUGGGUGGGGUCGGGCGGUGAGUGCUGCCCACGGAGAGUUCGCUCUGAGAGUCGGCUGCUCCCCGGCCCUCCUUCUUCAUGCCUUUACAUCACUGGUGUGCAUGGAGAGGACUGUGAAGUGAAGAUGGCAGUGUGGUCUGCCUACAGAGCAGCCUCCGUCCUGAGGGCUGGCCGAGGUUUGCUGUGGUCUCCUUUGAGCCAGCCUUGGUCCACACCUUCCAUCUCUGCUUUAGGUGGGCUGCUGCCUUUCUUGGCCCAUUAGUUUAUUGCCAAGCAGCUGAUGGACAGGGACCAUGUUCCUCUGCCCGGGCCAUCCGUGCAGGCCUCUGCCACCAGCAACCUCAGUUUUAGUCUCAAAGUUCCCGGGUGCCUCCAAACUCCCGCACACAAGUCAGACUCCCCCUAAACUCACCACCAGUCUCGGAGCACAUACGAACGUCCACCUGGGAAAGCCACCCGGAUGAAAACGUGUCCUCUCCCUCCUCCCUUCCCUAUUCUCUGCUGAAGUCACAGGGAGUACAUGGGGUGAAGGUUGGGGGGAAGCAAGCAGGGCCGAUCCUUUAGCUUCAUAUUAAGCAGUGAGCAAGAAGGCCCACCCCUCUUUAGAGACUGGGGGUGGAGGGGUGGGCCAAUUACUGUUGUCCAGGGCAGCUUGGUGUCCCCAUUCCCACUCACCUUCUUAUUCAUCAUUUGCUGAAUGCUUUUCUUGAAAGCUUGCCAGUUUCAAUGGCCUCUUUAAUUGCUUAGAGGGCUUGUAGUAAAGUUCCCUGCGCGCAAAGUCCACAAGAUUAGGUUUCAGAUUUUUAAAGAUGGGUAAAGUAUAAAAACAGACCUGUGGAAGUAGAAAUGGAAAAGCACUGAGGUGUUUUCCUAAAUGCCGAGGUCUGGUUGUUUGUGACCCCCUCAAAUUUGUAUGUGAAAUUCUUUUGUAAAAAAUUUUUAUUUGCAAGGCAGAGACAGAGAGAGAAAGGCAAAGAGAUAUACCAGAGAAAGAGAAAGAGAGAGAAAGAGAGCGAGAAAGAGAGAUCUUCCAUCUGUUCACUACGCAAAUGCCUGCAACAGCCAGGGAUAGGCAAGGCUGCAGCCAGGAGCCUGGAACUCAAGCUGGGUCUCCCACACAGGUGGCAGGAGCCCAGGCACUUGAACUGUCACCUGCUGCCUCCCAGAGUGUGCAUUAACAGGAAGCUGAGCCAGAAGUAGUGCAGCCAGGGCCCGCAACAGGCACUCCAACCUGGGCUGCCCUUGUCUAAACGCUGAGCCAC
rnacentral:lncRNA from 1 species